rnacentral:rRNA from 1 species
AUUGAACGCUGGCGGCAUGCCUUACACAUGCAAGUCGAACGGCAGCACGGGUGCUUGCACCUGGUGGCGAGUGGCGAACGGGUGAGUAAUAUAUCGGAACGUACCUUAUUGUGGGGGAUAACGCAGCGAAAGCUGUGCUAAUACCGCAUAAUCCCUAGGGGGGAAAGCGGGGGACCGUAAGGCCUCGCGCAAUUAGAGCGGCCGAUACCUGAUUAGCUAGUUGGUGAGGUAAAGGCUCACCAAGGCAACGAUCAGUAGCUGGUCUGAGAGGACGAUCAGCCACACUGGGACUGAGACACGGCCCAGACUCCUACGGGAGGCAGCAGUGGGGAAUUGUUCGCAAUGGGCGCAAGCCUGACGACGCAACGCCGCGUGGAGGAUGAAGGUCUUCGGAUUGUAAACUCCUGUUGCCCGGGACGAAACGCUCUGACCUAACACGUCAGAGCUUGACGGUACCGGGUGAGGAAGCCCCGGCUAACUCUGUGCCAGCAGCCGCAGUAA